GUGGGGAAUAUUGGACAAUGGGCGAAAGCCUGAUCCAGCCAUGCCGCGUGUGUGAAGAAGGUCUUCGGAUUGUAAAGCACUUUAAGUUGGGAGGAAGGGCAGUAAGUUAAUACCUUGCUGUUUUGACGUUACCAACAGAAUAAGCACCGGCUAACUUCGUGCCAGCAGCCGCGGUAAUACGAAGGGUGCAAGCGUUAAUCGGAAUUACUGGGCGUAAAGCGCGCGUAGGUGGUUCAGCAAGUUGAAGGUGAAAUCCCCGGGCUCAACCUGGGAAGUGCGCUUGUGACUGCAAGGCUGGAGUGCGGCAGAGGGGGAUGGAAUUCCGCGUGUAGCAGUGAAAUGCGUAGAUAUAGGAAGGAACACCAGUGGCGAAGGCGACCACCUGGACUGAUACUGACACUGAGGUGCGAAAGCGUGGGGAGCAAACAGGAUUAGAAACCCCGGUAGUCC
rnacentral:rRNA from 1 species